rnacentral:rRNA from 1 species
GUGUACACAAGAUAGAGCCUUCAUCAAGUUUUUAUAAACUUUACAUUUAAAUCCACCUUCAAAAGAUAUUUCAUAAACUUUAUUCGUAUUAUUCUUUUAAAUGUAACCCACCUCUAUCUUUUACAUCAGCUGCACCUUUACUUGAAGUCUUUGAUUUUAUCAUGAAAGAAAGAUUUCUAAAAAAACUAACUGACAACAGCGGUAUACAAACUAAAUAACAAGCAAAAGUAAGGAUUUCGUGGUCCAUCGUUUACAGGGCAGGUUCCUCUAAAUGGCUAUCUUGCCGCCAAAUCCGUUAAAUUUCAUAAUUACUACUAAUCCAAAAUUUUUUAUUUAUGAGUA